rnacentral:rRNA from 1 species
UACAGAGGGUGCGAGCGUUGUCCGGAAUCACUGGGCGUAAAGGGCGCGUAGGCGGCUCAGUAAGGUUGCGGUGAAAGCCCGGGGCUCAACCCCGGGUCGGCCGUGGCAACUGCUGGGCUGGAGCACUGUAGAGGCAGGUGGAAUUCCGGGUGUAGCGGUGGAAUGCGUAGAGAUCCGGAAGAACACCGGUGGCGAAGGCGGCCAACUGGACGAAUACUGACGCUGAGACACGAAAGCGUGGGGAGCAAACAGG